UACAGAGGGUGCGAGCGUUAAUCGGAAUUACUGGGCGUAAAGCGUGCGUAGACGGUUAUCUAAGUCGGGUGUGAAAGCCCCGGGCUCAACCUGGGAAUUGCAUUCGAGACUGAAUAGCUAGGGUACGGUAGAGGGAAGCGGAAUUUCCGGUGUAGCGGUGAAAUGCGUAGAUAUCGGAAGGAACAUCAGUGGCGAAAGCGGCUUCCUGGACCAGUACCGACGUCAGGCACGAAAGCGUGGGGAGCAAACAGG
rnacentral:rRNA from 1 species